UCAAACAUUGCUUUCUGCUCUUCCACCACGCCGUUGUUCAUGAUAUAGUAGCAUAAAGGCUUUCCCCUUUCUGUUUCGUCUGGUACAAAGUCUCCCUCUGUUUUAGAAACUUCAGACACCAUGUCGAAUUCAGCUGGCAGUACCGACACAAUUCCGCAGUUUACGACGAAAUCAUCACCAUAGAUAUCUUCGUUGUUUUCUCCAUACAUA
rnacentral:lncRNA from 1 species